AGCGUACACGGUGGAUGCCCUGGCAGUCAGAGGCGAUGAAGGACGUGCUAAUCUGCGAUAAGCGUCGGUAAGGUGAUAUGAACCGUUAUAACCGGCGAUUUCCGAAUGGGGAAACCCAGUGUGUUUCGACACACUAUCAUUAACUGAAUCCAUAGGUUAAUGAGGCGAACCGGGGGAACUGAAACAUCUAAGUACCCCGAGGAAAAGAAAUCAACCGAGAUUCCCCCAGUAGCGGCGAGCGAACGGGGAGGAGCCCAGAGCCUGAAUCAGUGUGUGUGUUAGUGGAAGCGUCUGGAAAGGCGCGCGAUACAGGGUGACAGCCCGUACACAAAAAUGCACAUGCUGUGAGCUCGAUGAGUAGGGCGGGACACGUGGUAUCCUGUCUGAAUAUGGGGGGACCAUCCUCCAAGGCUAAAUACUCCUGACUGACCGAUAGUGAACCAGUACCGUGAGGGAAAGGCGAAAAGAACCCCGGCGAGGGGAGUGAAAAAGAACCUGAAACCGUGUACGUACAAGCAGUGGGAGCACAGAGCAAUCUGUGUGACUGCGUACCUUUUGUAUAAUGGGUCAGCGACUUAUAUUCUGUAGCAAGGUUAACCGAAUAGGGGAGCCGAAGGGAAACCGAGUCUUAACUGGGCGUUAAGUUGCAGGGUAUAGACCCGAAACCCGGUGAUCUAGCCAUGGGCAGGUUGAAGGUUGGGUAACACUAACUGGAGGACCGAACCGACUAAUGUUGAAAAAUUAGCGGAUGACUUGUGGCUGGGGGUGAAAGGCCAAUCAAACCGGGAGAUAGCUGGUUCUCCCCGAAAGCUAUUUAGGUAGCGCCUCGUGAAUUCAUCUCCGGGGGUAGAGCACUGUUUCGGCAAGGGGGUCAUCCCGACUUACCAACCCGAUGCAAACUGCGAAUACCGGAGAAUGUUAUCACGGGAGACACACGGCGGGUGCUAACGUCCGUCGUGAAGAGGGAAACAACCCAGACCGCCAGCUAAGGUCCCAAAGUCAUGGUUAAGUGGGAAACGAUGUGGGAAGGCCCAGACAGCCAGGAUGUUGGCUUAGAAGCAGCCAUCAUUUAAAGAAAGCGUAAUAGCUCACUGGUCGAGUCGGCCUGCGCGGAAGAUGUAACGGGGCUAAACCAUGCACCGAAGCUGCGGCAGCGACGCUGAUGCGUUGUUGGGUAGGGGAGCGUUCUGUAAGCCUGUGAAGGUGUGCUGUGAGGCAUGCUGGAGGUAUCAGAAGUGCGAAUGCUGACAUAAGUAACGAUAAAGCGGGUGAAAAGCCCGCUCGCCGGAAGACCAAGGGUUCCUGUCCAACGUUAAUCGGGGCAGGGUGAGUCGACCCCUAAGGCGAGGCCGAAAGGCGUAGUCGAUGGGAAACAGGUUAAUAUUCCUGUACUUGGUGUUACUGCGAAGGGGGGACGGAGAAGGCUAUGUUGGCCGGGCGACGGUUGUCCCGGUUUAAGCGUGUAGGCUGGUUUUCCAGGCAAAUCCGGAAAACUAAGGCUGAGGCGUGAUGACGAGGCACUACGGUGCUGAAGCAACAAAUGCCCUGCUUCCAGGAAAAGCCUCUAAGCAUCAGGUAACAUCAAAUCGUACCCCAAACCGACACAGGUGGUCAGGUAGAGAAUACCAAGGCGCUUGAGAGAACUCGGGUGAAGGAACUAGGCAAAAUGGUGCCGUAACUUCGGGAGAAGGCACGCUGAUAUGUAGGUGAAGUCCCUCGCGGAUGGAGCUGAAAUCAGUCGAAGAUACCAGCUGGCUGCAACUGUUUAUUAAAAACACAGCACUGUGCAAACACGAAAGUGGACGUAUACGGUGUGACGCCUGCCCGGUGCCGGAAGGUUAAUUGAUGGGGUCAGCGCAAGCGAAGCUCUUGAUCGAAGCCCCGGUAAACGGCGGCCGUAACUAUAACGGUCCUAAGGUAGCGAAAUUCCUUGUCGGGUAAGUUCCGACCUGCACGAAUGGCGUAAUGAUGGCCAGGCUGUCUCCACCCGAGACUCAGUGAAAUUGAACUCGCUGUGAAGAUGCAGUGUACCCGCGGCAAGACGGAAAGACCCCGUGAACCUUUACUAUAGCUUGACACUGAACAUUGAGCCUUGAUGUGUAGGAUAGGUGGGAGGCUUUGAAGUGUGGACGCCAGUCUGCAUGGAGCCGACCUUGAAAUACCACCCUUUAAUGUUUGAUGUUCUAACGUUGACCCGUAAUCCGGGUUGCGGACAGUGUCUGGUGGGUAGUUUGACUGGGGCGGUCUCCUCCUAAAGAGUAACGGAGGAGCACGAAGGUUGGCUAAUCCUGGUCGGACAUCAGGAGGUUAGUGCAAUGGCAUAAGCCAGCUUGACUGCGAGCGUGACGGCGCGAGCAGGUGCGAAAGCAGGUCAUAGUGAUCCGGUGGUUCUGAAUGGAAGGGCCAUCGCUCAACGGAUAAAAGGUACUCCGGGGAUAACAGGCUGAUACCGCCCAAGAGUUCAUAUCGACGGCGGUGUUUGGCACCUCGAUGUCGGCUCAUCACAUCCUGGGGCUGAAGUAGGUCCCAAGGGUAUGGCUGUUCGCCAUUUAAAGUGGUACGCGAGCUGGGUUUAGAACGUCGUGAGACAGUUCGGUCCCUAUCUGCCGUGGGCGCUGGAGAACUGAGGGGGGCUGCUCCUAGUACGAGAGGACCGGAGUGGACGCAUCACUGGUGUUCGGGUUGUCAUGCCAAUGGCACUGCCCGGUAGCUAAAUGCGGAAGAGAUAAGUGCUGAAAGCAUCUAAGCACGAAACUUGCCCCGAGAUGAGUUCUCCCUGACUCCUUGA
rnacentral:rRNA from 1 species